rnacentral:rRNA from 1 species
CCUACGGGUGGCAGCAGUGGGGGAUAUUGCACAAUGGGGGGAACCCUGAUGCAGCGACGCCGCGUGGGUGAAGGCGCUUUUCGGCGCGUAAAGCCCUAUCCGCAGGGAAGAAGAUGACGGUACCUGACCAAGACGCCCCGGCUACCUACGUUCCAGUCGCCGCGGUCAUACGUAGGGGGCAAGCGUUAUCCGGAUUUACUGGGUGUAACGGGGGCGCAGACGGCAAUGCAAGGCAGGAGUGAAAGCCCGGGGCCCAACCCCGGGACUGCUCUUGGAACUGCAGGGCUGGAGUGCAGGAGGGGCAGGCGGAAUUCCUGGUGUAGCGGUGAAAGGCGUAGAGAUCAGGAGGAACACCGGUGGCGAAGGCGGCCUGCUGGACUGUGACUGACGUUGAGGCACGAAAGCGUGGGGAGCAAACAGGAUUAGAUACCCCAGUAGUC